UUGAUCCUGGCUCAGAAUCAACGCUGGCGGCGUGCCUCAGACAUGCAAGUCGAACGCGAAAGUCCCCUUCGGGGGGCAAGUAGAGUGGCGCACGGGUGAUUAACACGUAGGUAAUCUACCUUUGGAUGGGGAAUAACAAUCGGAAACGGUUGCUAAUACCGCAUAAUGCAGCGGCACCUAAUGGUGACAGUUGUUAAAGUGGGGAUCGAAAGACCUCGCGUCUAAAGAGGAGCCUGCGGCGGAUUAGCUUGUUGGUAAGGUAACGGCUUACCAAGGCGACGAUCCGUAGCCGGCCUGAGUGGGCGGUCGGCCACACUGACACUGACAUACGGGUCAGACUCCUACGGGAUGCAGCAGUCGGGAAUUUUGGGCAAUGGGCGAAAGCCUGACCCAGCAACGUCGCGUGAAGGAUGAAAUCCCUCGGGAUGUAAACUUCGCAAGAACGGGAAUAAUAAGUAGGGGACAAUACCCCCUAUGAUGACGGUACCGUUUGUAAGCUUCGGCUAACUCCGUGCCAGCAGCCGCGGUAAUAAGGU
rnacentral:rRNA from 1 species